CCUGCCCUAAUGAUGCACUAAACCCAAUAAUUAAUGAGUUAGUGUAUACAUUUGAGGGUCUCCCUAGUCAAAAAUUAGGCAAUUUACGUCCAAUGCUCCUCCUACCGUAAAGUACACAGCGGAUUAUAAUCUGGAUUUUGAAAUAAACUGCGGAACCGAUAAUGUCUGCAUCGAUAAUCUCAAAGUGGAUUUUAACUUUUCUGGGCACUCAGUUAUACAGGUUGGAAUACUGCAGGAGAUGAAUGUGACAGUUUUUAUACAGAACAGAGGGGAAAACUCCUAUAACAGUCAAGUCAUUCUCAAAUACCCAUUCGGACUUUCCUUCAGACGAUUCACCACUA